CCCAGGACCCAGGGGUCCUCCAGGACCACCUGGACCCCCAGGCCCAGGGACAGGUGACCGCGCGACAUUUGUGGAUAUGGAAGGCUCAGGAGGAUUCCCAGAUUUGGAGAAAAUGCAGACUCUCCGUGGUCUACCAGGUCCCCCCGGCCCUCCAGGUCCCCCUGGCCCCUC